rnacentral:rRNA from 1 species
AGCAGCCGCGGUAAUUCCAGCUCCAAUAGCGUAUAUUAAAGUUGUUGCAGUUAAAAAGCUCGUAGUUGAAUUUCGGGGUUAGUAGGUUGGUCAUGCCUCUGGUAUGUACUGGUCUCACUGAUUCCUCCUUCCUGAUGAACCUUAAUGCCAUUAAUUUGGUGUUUUGGGGAAUUUGGACCGUUACUUUGAAAAAAUUAGAGUGUUUAAAGCAAGCUAACGCUUGAAUACAUUAGCAUGGAAUAAUGAAAUAGGACGUUCGAUCCUAUUUUGUUGGUUUCUAGGAUUGACGUAAUGAUUAAUAGGGAUAGUUGGGGGCAUUAGUAUUCAAUUGUCAGAGGUGAAAUUCUUGGAUUUAUUGAAGACUAACUACUGCGAAAGCAUUUGCCAAGGAUGUUUUCAUUAAUCAAGAACGAAAGUUAGGGGAUCGAAGACGAUCAGAUACCGUCGUAGUCUUAACCAUAAACUAUGCCGACUAGGGAUCGGAUGAUGUUA